CCGCCGACGCCUCCAGCGUCCCGCGGGAGCCGGGACCCGGCGGCCAGGCCCGGCUGGUGCUUCUCUGGGCGCCGCUGAAAGCCCAGCUCCGCAGGAGCUACAGGCGUGAGACCCACCGGGACCCGCGAGCGGGAUCAGGGCUGGGGGAUUAGCAGAGCCGCUUGCGAGGCUGACCCUCUCCAGGAUGCCCCAUGUAAACCUGGAUCAUUCCUUCCUUCUGAGUACGGGGCAGGACUCUCUCUGGGAUGGAGGGGUCUUAGGACCUGCAAGCAAACAAGACUCAGCCCACCUGCACUGAGGUGAAAUAAACAGCUUUAUUGCUCACACAAAGCCUGUUGGUGGACUCUCUUCACAUUGAUGCGCGUGACAUUUUGUGCUGUGACUUGGAUUGGGGGCCCUUCCUUGGGAGAUCAAUCCCCUGUCCUCCUGCUCUUUGCUCCAGGAGAAAGAUCCACCACGACCUUGGGUCUUCGGACCAACCAGCCCAAGGAACAUCUCACCAAUUUUAAAUCGGAAGACAGGAAUGUCAGGCCUCUGAGCCCAAGCGAAG
rnacentral:lncRNA from 1 species